AUUGAACGCUGGCGGCAGGCCUAACACAUGCAAGUCGAGCGGCAGCGGGACCUUCGGGUUGCCGGCGAGCGGCGGACGGGUGAGUAAUGCCUAGGAAUCUGCCUGUUAGUGGGGGAUAACGCGGGGAAACUCGCGCUAAUACCGCAUACGUCCUACGGGAGAAAGCGGGGGCUCUUCGGACCUCGCGCUAACAGAUGAGCCUAGGUCGGAUUAGCUAGUUGGUGGGGUAAUGGCUCACCAAGGCGACGAUCCGUAACUGGUCUGAGAGGAUGAUCAGUCACACUGGAACUGAGACACGGUCCAGACUCCUACGGGAGGCAGCAGUGGGGAAUAUUGGACAAUGGGCGAAAGCCUGAUCCAGCCAUGCCGCGUGUGUGAAGAAGGUCUUCGGAUUGUAAAGCACUUUAAGUCGGGAGGAAGGGCUGUAGGUUAAUACCCUGCGGUUUUGACGUUACCGACAGAAUAAGCACCGGCUAACUUCGUGCCAGCAGCCGCGGUAA
rnacentral:rRNA from 1 species